UUAGCGAGGUAUUUAUUUUUUUAAUGAGCUAAGCAUCACCAAUGCUGUAUUUGCAUUUUACAGAGAAACUGAGGCAGAGAUCUUGAAAGCAGGACAUUAAAAUGAAUGCCUAAAGUUUGGUAUCACAGUCCACUUACGUAAAUAUCAUGCUUUUUGUGACUUCUGGCCACUGGCUUUUGCAACAGCCAGAGCUUUUAUACCUGAGGUUCAGGGAAGCCUCUCUGUGAGCUGCGAGAGCAGCACAGCCUGAUGUUUCAGGGGAAUUUGAAUACUGGUUUCUCAUCAAUAAGAAGCAUAGUAGUGCUGAAGGGCACAAGACAAAGCUGGAGGUCACAGUAACCUUAGGUACAGCGAAUCUCAAUGAAGAAAAUACCUGAAAUGAACCUCAAACAUCAGGCAGACCUUUGACGCUAUGUCCCAGGUUAAAAAAAGAUACAAAAUGCAGUCCUUUACCAAUUAAGCAUAUACCGUCAUUGCAGAAUUAGUCAUAUGAUGUCCGUAAUCCUCCUUGUCUGAGCAGAGAAGUCUCCAACUCAAGUGUGGGAGUGCUUCGGUACCCGGUGAGCCGGCAGGAUUUGGGGGUAUGGAUGAGAGCUUGGAUUCUCCUUUUCAGGGGCGGGUAACAUGCUAACGGUAUAGCUAUCAUGCAGUGCCAACUGUCCUCCAGAGCCUUCUCACAAUUAAGCUCCCUGCCCAAUAAGCCAGACAAGUUCUCCUGGAUUUAAGGGGAAAUAAUUAUAUGACCACUCUGCUGGUUACAGUGGUAAAAAUAAUGAGCUAUGCCCCAGAAGUCCUAACAAAAUCCACGGAUAAGUAAAGUGGCACUAAAGAUUGAACAUGAAGAAAGCUCUGGUAUGCGGCUCUGACACCGUCUGACAUGUGCCAGUUGCUGGUAUUUACACUUUAAUCAAAAUACAACUAAAAACCGAGGGAAAAGUUCACAUUCUGGAGGAUGGCAGAACUGCUGGUUUAUGGGCAUCUUGGUAGCAGAUCCCUUUGCUUGGUAUAUUCCCCCCCAAUCUGUCAACAUGGGAUGCCUUGCUCUUUAGUCUGGAGCUAAGAAAAUUAUUGCAAUUUUGAUUAAGAAGACUGGAAACGGGUCCCUUUGGUUGCACCAGAGCUCUGAAAUACUGACCCAUUAUUUGUCCCUUCUCUUGUGGAUCCCAAUGUAUCCUAAGCGGCUGCAGCCCAUGGCAGACAUUCCUCCUUAUUUAACCGUUUUCCAUUCCCUUUUGCUUCCUGUGUGCUCUUCUCAGUGACUUGUCCCAUGAGUGUCUGCCGCUCCGCGCCCGCGCUGGACGCGGGGCCGGUCAUCUCGCAAAGUCCCGCCGCCGCCGCCGCUGCUUGCCGCCCCGCUCGCUGCCGGCGCCGGGAGCGCGUCUGUCGUUGCGCGGGGAAGCGGAGCGGGUGCGUGUGUGUGUGUGUGUGUGUGUGUGUG
rnacentral:lncRNA from 1 species